CUCCUGGCACCUGAAAUGUACUGGUUAGCACUGCAUUUAAGUACUCAUAGGCCCUAUAAUCUCUUUCCAAGCUACUUCACUGGCACAUUUGCGUUGGGAUAGUCAAAGUUUGUAUAUGCUGCAACGUGUAAUAUCAAGGGCUGCAAGACAAGGAACUAAAGAAGGAAAGGAGAAGACAAUUAAGUAGCAGUUGCAGAACAGUCAAGGGGUACAACUGAAACUCACACAUUUGGGAAGUCUGCUACAUUUGUUUCUUAGCACAAGAGUGAAACCAGUUUGAAAGAUUAACAUCUCCAGUGUGAGCUGGUGUUUGCAGGGGAAUUAGAGAACUCCAAGGCUCUACAGGUGACUAAGAGCAAAGAGCUUGAAACAAUACUGUGCCAGAUUAUUGGCUCUUGAGUCGUACCAUAACAGACAAACUGGUGAAUUACAAAUGAACUUAGUAACUUCUAGCAGAGAGGCCUGAGUUUGAUGCCUGCAUCCUCCACAUUCUGUUGUAAGUCUCUUAACCUCUCAAAUAUUUCUGUGGUACACAUGAAAACACACCGUGCCAUUGCUUGAUAACUGUUGCUGUGGUUAUUAAUGAUUAAAGGAUACAUUAGUGUUAUGUUUCACAGUAAUUCUUCUUAUUUAAAUUAUACAUUUUUAAGUUGAGAACAUAAUGCACCUGUCAGAUCAGCCAUUCAUUUUAAUACAUAUAUGUAUGGAGGAAUUUGUUUUUUUCUUCAAAUAUUUUAUUUCAAACAAUCUGUCAUUUUGUGCUAGGUAAUGUCCCUUAAACAGAAAUGAAGCUUAUGUGGUAUCCUAUAAAUUCUUUGAUGUGCCAAGAGUUUUGUGUUUCUAGGUAAUUUCUUUAGUCACUUAGCACACAAGAAGAGAUUGUGAGAAUUAAAUGUAGGUUUGCACAUUUUUUUAUGAAUGCUUUAGAUUGUUGAUUCAUAUAUACUACCUGUCAUGUCUAAAUGCACAUCAAAAUAUGUUGUUAUAUAAUGAAUAGUGUUUAACUGUUUUACUUUCACAUAUUAUUUUUUUACCUUAGUACAUUUAGAUUGCAAGGUACACCAUUAUUAGAAUUUAAAAAAUUGACAACUAACAGUUCAGAACAGAUGUGUCUUCUCCCACUCCCUACUCUGUACAGAAGCAAAAAAUAAUUACAUUUUAACAUAAGUGUAUACUGAUAAAAGUUAUGUUCUGGCAUGGUUCAUUCCUAAUUAGGCACUUGUAGAAAGGGCUGUUUGUAAUGUGCAUACAUAAAGAGCAGCUGAUAUACUGCAGUAUGCUUCUUGGGGAAACUAUAACUAUCCUUGGAUGUAGUCCCUUGCCAAAAUGUUGUCUCUGCUAUUGUGUCUCACUACUUGAAAUUAAUGUAAGCGUACUUCAUGUAAAAAAAAAAAAAAAAAACUUUGUAUGUAUAUAUUGUACUCAUGUGGAACUACCAAGGGCAGUUUUAAAGAAUCCCCCGUAAAUAAGAAGGGAUUGUUGAAAUCCCAUUUAACCAACUGUGACUAAUUAAGGUCUGUUUGCUGGAGUAUUAUUGCAUUGUUAGUAUUAUGUUCUAUUUUGAUUCCAUUGCUGUGUGACUGUUAUCCUAUUUAUUUAAGGUGGUGUGGAGAGUGGCUAGUCUUCUUGCCAAAAACAAUGUUGAAGUUUUUUUAUAUAUGUUUUUCAAUAUUUUAUUUUAUUGGAUUAGUUUAGAGUGCAUUCCACUAGCUGACAUGAAUCUUAUAUAUUUAGUUGGCACUCAUUGCAUCACAAGAUGUUUAUCGUUAGGAUUAGUGCUAUAGAAAUGCAUAUCUAAUGGGAAAUAGUUGAAGGUAAACAUCAGGCUUUUGGCCUAAUCUUUUUCAGCCAUUGGGUGUCCAUGGCUGUCUGCGGAUGCAUCUCAUGAUGGCCACUGGGAGGUGUCUGACUGCUGUAGAGAGUGCACAUCUCACCUUACUUGGUUCUUCUUGUUUUUUGCCACUUGAGCAGCCAGUCAGGUUGCUUCACUAUUUCAUUGGGCACUUCUUAGGUCUCAGUC